AUAUAUAUAUAUAUAUAUAUAUACUGAACAAAUGCACAGAUGUCUAUUGUCUACUAAGAUCGAUUUCAAUGCCCUAAAAUUUGACGGGAAAAUUCCACUGAAUGUUUUGUAUGUAACAUGCCUUGUGGAUAUUUGAAAAGGUUAAGAGGACUGCAGGCAUAAAAUUGGAAUAAAAGGAUGUUAUUUUAUUUUCCAGACGUUUCGCCGGUCAAGGCUUCAUCAGUAGAAUAUUACUUAUUACAAUAUAAACGUCUAUUAUAUACAAGCUAGCGUAUUAAAAAUUCAUGAACAGAAAAAAAUAUAUAAAAUCUAUUGAAAUGUCAAUU